rnacentral:rRNA from 1 species
CCUACGGGAGGCAGCAGUGGGGAAUAUUGCACAAUGAGCGAAAGCUUGAUGCAGCCAUACCGCGUGUGUGAAGAAGGCCCGAGGGUUGUAAAGCACUUUCAAUUGUGAGGAAGGUAGUGUAGUUAAUACCUGCAUUGCUUGACGUUAACUUUAGAAGAAGCACCGGCUAACUCUGUGCCAGCAGCCGCGGUAAUACAGAGGGUGCAAGCGUUAUUCGGAAUUACUGGGCGUAAAGCGCGCGUAGGCGGACUAUUAAGUCAGUUGUGAAAGCCCUGGGCUCAACCUGGGAACUGCAUCUGAUACUGGUAGUCUAGAGUUUAAGAGAGGGAAGUGGAAUUCCAGGUGUAGCAGUGAAAUGCGUAGAUAUCUGGAGGAACAUCAGUGGCGAAGGCGACUUCCUGGCUUAAAACUGACGCUGAGGUGCGAAAGCGUGGGUAGCGAACGGGAUUAGAUACCCCGGUAGUCCACGCCGUAAACGAUGUCAACUAGUUGUUGGUCUUAUUAAAAAGAUUAGUAACGAAGCUAACGCGAUAAGUUGACCGCCUGGGGAGUACGGUCGCAAGAUUAAAACUCAAAGGAAUUGACGGA